CCUGAACCCAUUAUGGAGAUGUGCAGCCUGGAUGCCCAGCCGAAGGAGUAGUGACGCUCCCGUCUUCAUUCGGAUCCAUGGACAGUAGACAAUCUUUGUCAUUUCCUGAAGUCUCACUGCCAUUCCCAAAGGCAGCUGGUGCUUUGCUCAGCCUUCCGUGCUGUGCAGUGCUUCCGUCAGGAGAUGGCCCUGUUUAAGCCAGCAGGUGGCCACAGCCCAGGGAACCAGCAAAAGCACAACACAUGAAUUUUCUGAUUGUAUUUUCUACAAUUUUCUGGCAAAUCACAGCUGGGCAAUUUCUGCCGUUAAAAUGAACAGCUUCAGCUCGGCAGCGGCAUUCUACUCCUCUCCUCACCGAUGCUGCCUUCUUGUGGGUCUGUGCGCUGCCUCUUGAAGGUCCG
ensembl:lncRNA